UAAAAAUGUACUCUGACGAACGUUCAAACAUCACAAAGUUCAACUUGAAAGUCGACAUAAGUCAAUUUAGAGGACUUCUUCGACAAGAAAAUGAGUUGUCUAAGUCUCCUACAACGACCUCUAUAUCGUGUAGGAACAGUGCGAAGUCUGAGCAUUACAAGCAAUCAUGAUGGACUCGAAAUAGAUCAGAGGGAGGGACUAAGGAUUAUAAAACUGAACAGACCCAAGAAACUUAAUGCAUUCAACAAGUCUAUGUACGUGGGUUUACGUGAAGAAUUAAAGCUAGCAGCAUCAGACAGUAAUACAGUAAUCACAGUUGUGACUGGAGCAGGGGAGUAUUUCAGCAGUGGAAAUGACUUAAACAUGUUUGAAAAGAUACCUCAGACGGAAGACGAGCUCCGUGAGAUGGCAGAGGAGAGCAGAGAUAUGCUCCAGAAGUUCGUGGAGUCCUUCAUUCAGUUCCCCAAACCCCUUGUAGGGGUUGUUAAUGGACCAGCCAUAGGAAUAGGUGGUUCUAUACUUGGUCUCAUGGAUUUAGUUUAUGCAUCUGACAGAGCUACCUUUUCCUUCCCCUUUGUGAGGCUAGGCCAGGGCCCAGAGGGAUGUUCCUCAUACACCUUUCCUAGAUUAAUGGGACCCGCCAAAGCUGCAGAACUUUUAUAUUUUGGAAGGAAGGUUGAUGCUCUUGAAGGAGAACACCUGGGAUUAGUAACACGAGUAAUUCCACAUCAGGAAUUGGAAAAUAUUUGGGAGGAACUGGUUGAAUAUUCUAAACUUCCAAAACAAUCUCUACUCAAUUGUAAAGAGCUGAUUAGAGGGGUACAGCAGGAAACUCUUGCAGCUGUUAACAGGAAAGAAUGUGAUCUAUUACUGGAACAAUGGGCUAGCCCAGAAACUUUUAAGGCAGUGCAGAACAUGUUUCUGAAGAAGAAGAAAUAGAUCAGAAAGCAUGGGCCAUCAUUGUAUGUACAUUCAUGUGCUCAGGACUGAAGAUUAGGUCAAAGAGGAUUAACUUUUAAGGAUACCUGGAGUGAUGUGCAUGUGCGUGAAAACUAUAGAACCUGGGAUUAUUGCUACAAGGUUUAGGUGUGGAUCAUCCUCAUCACCAAAAUAUUUAGCUAGAAGAAUAAAGUUGUACUUCUUGGCCACAUCAGAUUAUUUAAAAAUCGGACGAUGAUUACAAUACGUAUAAUACCUAUGACCUUAGCUUUAUAUUAUUAAAAAAAAUUGAUAAAAAUAAUCUUUAAUUGUUAUUUUUAGUUGAAUUGGUUUAGUUGAAAUCUGCAUAUUAAUUGAACUAGUUGAA
rnacentral:misc_RNA from 1 species